UUCCCCCACCCCUUUUCUCCUUUCCCUGCAACCAAACGAAGGAGAAAAACUCCACAGUAACGUCUCCACCUCGCCAUGGCGGCGCCGUUGCAGACCUCCCCUCGCCGAGCCGAAGCCACGAGAAGAUGCGCCUCGUCGUCAUUGUCGUCUACGCCAAAGGAAUUUAUCCGGCGCACCCCGAAACGACGACACGGUCGCCGAUUCCUCCUCCCUCUCCGGCGAGCUAAUCUUCGAUUCCGGCCGUCCCCGACCUCCUCCUCUGUUUCCGAGCACACCAUCGCGUUCCUGCACCUCGUCGCCGGCGGUACUCCGGCGAGCUUCCGGCGCCAACACCACCACGUACAGGUCCACCCCGCGGAGGCGCAGCCCCGACGCCAUCCUUCCCGUCCUGGUUCACAAGGAACCACCAGAUCCUUGUUCGUCCUGCUCCUUUGCCAUGGUUGCAGUUCCAAGCUCGUCCCCGCCUUCCGUUGGUUUUAACCAACGCGCACCAGAUAUUUGACAAGAUCAGAUGCUAGCCUAACUGGUUUGACCCUUGAUCCUGUUCCGUGAAACCAGAGAUCAAAUCCCAAUUCUGGCAAUUAAAGGACAACCUUUUUUGUUCUUUGUUUCACUUCAGAUCCGAAGAUGGGCCUUGGCCCAGCUUCCUCUCAAGGCGCCAGUCCUCUAUCCAGCGCCAGCAGCAAGCCAGAUCGGGCCUAGGCAGUGCAGCAUUUGCUUCUUCCCGGAUAGGAUCGCGAAGUGGUGUUGUGAGAUACGGCAAGUUCUCCGGAUGUCCCUCGUCAAGCUUUAACAGGCAAGCAUUUCCCUUAUACUCCUGUCCCUGCAGGAGUCGCUCACCUAUUUUAUGUUGCCUUCUCCCUCAUGCUAUCCUUAAGUUGCGUUCUUGUCACGUGUCCCUUCCACUUGUUACCUCAAGCAGCCUAUAUUGCCUCCACCAACCACCUACAUCUAUUGUUUGGUUAUCGUGUCUGCCCUUGCGAGUCGUAGUGCACGCUAGUGCUAUCUUACCGUGUUACCGUUAUUUCUAUCUUAUCGGGUUAUAUGUUGGGAAGAAUCAUGGUUACUUUAGUUGCUGACAAUUGUUUAGCGGAGGCAUCGGUGGGUCAGCUGCUCGUUUUGUGACGGCUCACUUGUGUUUCCUAAAUAAUUUAGGACCCGAGUUCUUGUUAUCUGUUCCGAGACUGAGCGCUCUAACCACACGUGGGUAUGCUUACCGGGUCUCCCCUCGACCACUGCCGGAAUCUACAGAUUUGUCCAGUGGCCACAAUUAGUUUGAAUGCUUUUGUUUCUCUCGGGCGUAUAAGCUUGUUUCUUUGUGGUCAGAUGAUAUGAUAUUACUUUUGGGGAAGCCAUGUUGCCUUGUAACCCCGUUGUCUCUUGCACGUC